UACAGAGGUCUCAAGCGUUGUUCGGAUUCAUUGGGCGUAAAGGGUGUGUAGGUGGCGCCGUAAGUCGGGUGUGAAAAUUUCGGAGCUUAACUCCGAAACUGCAUUCGAUACUGCGGUGCUUGAGGACUGGAGAGGAGACUGGAAUUCAUGGUGUAGCAGUGAAAUGCGUAGAGAUCAUGAGGAAGACCAGUGGCGAAGGCGGGUCGUCCUGGACAGUUACUGACGGCUGAGGCACGAAGGCCAGGGGAGCAAACGGG
rnacentral:rRNA from 1 species